rnacentral:rRNA from 1 species
UGGGGAAUAUUGGACAAUGGGGGGAACCCUGAUCCAGCCAUGCCGCGUGUGUGAAGAAGGCCUUAUGGUUGUAAAGCACUUUAAGCGAGGAGGAGGGUACUGGUAUUAAUACUACCAGGUACUGGACGUUACUCGCAGAAUAAGCACCGGCUAACUCUGUGCCAGCAGCCGCGGUAAUACAGAGGGUGCGAGCGUUAAUCGGAUUUACUGGGCGUAAAGCGUGCGUAGGCGGCUAAUUGAGUCGGAUGUGAAAUCCCCGAGCUUAACUUGGGAAUUGCAUUCGAUACUGGUUAGCUAGAGUGUGGGAGAGGAUGGUAGAAUUCCAGGUGUAGCGGUGAAAUGCGUAGAGAUCUGGAGGAAUACCGAUGGCGAAGGCAGCCAUCUGGCCUAACACUGAGGCUGAGGUACGAAAGCAUGGGGAGCAAACAGG